CAGUCGCCGCGGGAAUACGUAGGUGGCGAGCGUUGUCCGGAAUUAUUGGGCGUAAAGGGAGCGCAGGCGGACAUAUAAGUCCAUCUUGAAGUGCGGGGCUCAACCCCGUGAGGGGAUGGAAACUGUAUGCCUUGAGUGCAGGAGAGGAAAGCGGAAUUCCCAGUGUAGCGGUGAAAUGCGUAGAUAUUGGGAGGAACACCAGUGGCGAAGGCGGCUUUCUGGACUGCAACUGACGCUGAGGCUCGAAAGCCAGGGGAGCGAACGGGAUUAGAUACCCCUGUAGUCCCUGUCUCUUAUACAC
rnacentral:rRNA from 1 species